UCUGAAGGUCUUCAUUAGAAACUGUCUCCAUCCUCCAGCUCCAUCUCCAAAUCACAUGCUCCUGGAUGAUUCCUAAGGUUCCUUAACAUGAAGUCCUAAGGAUCCGCAACUUGAAGACAAUUUUCAGGGAAGAGAUGCAGAAUAAAAUUUGUGUAGGUUUCGAAGGCAGAACUGAACUAAGGAAAAUUCAUCAGGAAGCAGAAGAGGAAGAACUUCCUGGUUAUUGUAGCCCAAUAAAUGGAAGGGACUGCCUCACAUUGCAAUGAACUCUCUCAUCAGAAAUGUAUGAAAGUUCCAAUCGCUCUGUGGCCUCACCAACACUUGGUAUCAUCUGUUAAACAUUUCUGGUAAGAAGGUCCUUUUCUUUUUGAAUGUAAG